GAUGAAGAACGUAGCGAAAUGCGAUAAGUAACGUGAAUUGCAGAAUUCAGUGAAUCAUCGAAUCUUUGAACGCACAUUGCGCCCCCUGGUAUUCCGGGGGGCAUGCCUGUCCGAGCGUCAUUACAACCCUCAAGCUCAGCUUGGUGUUGGGCCCCGCCGCCCCGGCGGGCCCUAAAGUCAGUGGCGGUGCCGUCCGGCUCCGAGCGUAGUAAUUCUUCUCGCUCUGGAGGUCCGGUCGUGUGCUCGCCAGCAACCCCCAAUUUUUUUCAGGUUGACCUCGGAUCAGGUAGGGAUACCCGCUGAACUUAAGCAUAUCAAUAAGCGGAGGA
rnacentral:misc_RNA from 1 species